rnacentral:ncRNA from 1 species
UACCUGGUUGAUCCUGCCAGUAGUCAUAUGCUUGUCUCAAAGAUUAAGCCAUGCAAGUCUAAGUACGAGCUCUCGUACAGUGAAACUGCGAAUGGCUCAUUAAAUCAGUUAUGGUUCAUUUGAUCGUACAGUUUACUUGGAUAACUGUGGUAAUUCUAGAGCUAAUACAUGCGAGAAGCGCCGACCUCGCGGGAGGCGUGCAUUUAUCAGACCAAAAACCGGCCGCGUCUUCGGGCGCGUUCGCCUUGGUGACUCUGGAUAACUUUGCGGAUCGCACGGUCUAGCACCGGCGACGGAUCAUUCAAGUGUCUGGAUUCCCGAGCCGUGAGCCCGAGUCCCCAGAGUCGAAGUCCCGAUGUGCGUAUAAGCUAUAUGCUAUAAGCUAUAAGCUGUAUGCUGUAUGCUGUAUGCUGUAUGCUGUAUGCUGUAUGCUGUAUGCUGUAUGCUGUAUGCUGUAUGCUGUAUGCUGUAUGCUGUAUGCUG